GACGAACGCUGGCGGCGUGCUUAACACAUGCAAGUCGAACGGGCCUUGUCCCCUUUUUUUUUGGGGGUGGGGUUAGUGGCGAACGGGUGAGUAACACGUGAGUAACCUGCCCCUCACUUCUGGAUAACCGCUUGAAAGGGUGGCUAAUACGGGGUGUUCUGGCCUGCUCGCAUGGGUGGGUUUGGAAAGAUUCGACCGGUUUUGGUUGUUUUGGUGGGGGAUGGGCUCGCGGCCUAUCAGAUUGUUGGUGGGGUGAUGGCCUGCCAAGGCUUUGACGGGUAGCCGGCCUGAGAGGGUGGGCGGUCACACUGGGACUGAGACACGGCCCAGACUCCUACGGGAGGCAGCAGUGGGGAAUAUUGCACAAUGGGCGCAAGCCUGAUGCAGCGACGCCGCGUGAGGGAUGGAGGCCGUCGGGUUGUGAACCUCUUUCGCCAGUGAAGAAGGUCCUGCUCUUUGUGGUGGGGUUGACGGUAGCUGGGUUAAUGAAGCGCCGGCUAACUACGUG
rnacentral:rRNA from 1 species